GAGGGUAUAGCUCAAGAGGCAGAGCACAUACUUAGCAUGUAGGAGGUCCUGGGUUCAACCCCCAGAACCUCCU
rfam:Camelus ferus unplaced genomic scaffold scaffold629, whole genome shotgun sequence.